rnacentral:rRNA from 1 species
GCCUGAGAGAUGGCUCCCACGUCCAAGGAUGGCAGCAGGCGCGAAAAUUGUCCACUCUUUUGAGAGGAGACAGUUAUGAAACGUGAGUAGAAGGGUCGAGUGUAAAAACCUUGACGUGAAGCAAUUGGAGGGCAAGUUUUGGUGCCAGCAGCCGCGGUAAUUCCAACUCCAAGAGUGUCUAUGGUGGAUGCUGCAGUUAAAGGGUCCGUAGUCGUAGAUGCAAUUAAAAGGUGGUGUUAAAAGCCAUUGAGUUUGUUGAGAGUAGCGGAACGGAUAGGGAGCAUGGUAUAGGUGGGCAAAGAAUGAAAUCUCAAGACCCCACCUGGACCAACGGAGGCGAAAGCGAUGCUCUUAGACGUAUCUGGGGAUCAAGGACGAAGGCUAGAGUAUCGAAAGUGAUUAGACACCGCUGUAGUUCUAGCAGUAAACUAUGCCGACAAUGCUGGGUGUUGCGAGAGCGAUGCUUGGUGUGGGAGAAAUCUUAGUUUUCGGGCUCUGGGGAUAGUACGC